rnacentral:tmRNA from 1 species
GGGGUUGACUGGAUUUGACAGCGGACUGGGAUUGUGUGUAAGCAUGCGGAGUUAAGACUGUGCACUCCAUAAUCUCGUCGGUCAACAAUUUAAUUGGCGAAACACGUUACGCUCUCGCUGCUUAAUCGAAGUAUAGUAGAUUAGCUUUAUUCCCUUGCAAGGCGAGGGAACGGGACAUCGCUCAGAGCCCCCUCCUUGAGGCUUACUGGUUAUAGCGGUGCUGGAAUAUCAGGGAUAGUCGGUGGCUUGCCUCGCGUCGUCGGCAAAACUUUUGAGGAUAAGGUUGCGAUUGGUGGCUUGGGUCUUGUCGUAACACGAAAAUGAAGGCCAAGAUAAGCAUGUAGAAAGCAUACGGUUUCACCGUUUGGACGAGGGUUCGACUCCCUCCAGCUCCACUU